rnacentral:rRNA from 1 species
CAGCCGCCACGGUAAUACGUAGGGUGCAAGCGUUAAUCGGAAUUACUGGGCGUAAAGCGUGCGUAGGUGGUGGUUUAAGUCCGUUGUGAAAGCCCUGGACUCAACCUGGGAAUUGCAGUGGAUACUGGGUCACUAGAGUGUGGUAGAGGAUAGUGGAAUUUCCGGUGUAGCAGUGAAAUGCGUAGAGAUCGGAAGGAACAUCUGUGGCGAAGGCGACUAUCUGGGCCAACACUGACACUGAGGCACGAAAGCGUGGGGAGCAAACAGGAUUAGAUACCCGCGUAGUCCCUGUCUCUUAUAA